UCCCGUGUGGCUCAGUUGGUAGAGCAUGGUGUUUGCAACGCCAGGGGUUCGAUUCCCACGGGGG
rnacentral:tRNA from 1 species